UGUGACAAUGCUGUUUUUUUCUGCUUUAAUAACUGUUGCUUAAUUGUGAAAUAUCUUGAAAUAACUAUUUGUAGACCGUGAAAUAAACAUGGCCCUACUUAUUGGACACCUCUAAGUAAAAUUACCAUUGUGCUGGCUUCUAGUUUGGAGGGAACCCAGUCUUGUGCGAUUGGACUGGCAGUUUUAGAUGUCAUUGAGAAAGAGGAUCUUGGUGACAAUGCGACGAAGGUGGGCAUCUACCUCCUGGGACUGCUGAAUGAGCUGCAGUACAAGCACCCCAUUAUUGGAGAUGUCAGAUAUGAAGGGGAAUUUAAAAGCCACUGACGCAGUGUCUGGCUGAGAGAAGGUGCUUGCAGACGGUCCACAAACAAGAACUGUGAAUUAAACAAUUAUGGUGCAGUUCUACAGUUCACAUUGCAGAAAGUGGUGAAAAUAAUGGAACGAAAGGAAGGUUCUGGUGAAAAAUGAAGAUACAUACUGUGUAUAUUUCUCUUCUGUUUCACUUGUGCAGCGAGCGAAGGUGUGGGUGGGUGGGUGGUUGCAGACAUUGUUGACAAAGCCUGUAGACCCCCACUCUACUGGAAUAAUCCAUAAAUGAGUGUAGCUCCCCUUCAAACCGUGAGCACUGUCUCUGCCUUUAUUAAAAAUACUUUCCUGUUUAAACUAUACUGACGCUACGCUUGCGUCUUACUAGACAACAAUAAGUAAGUCUGCAUUUUUUUAUUGGUCCGCAUUGCAUAUCUGCUUACCAGUUAUGUGAACCCCUGAUUAUGUAUCAAGAGAGUACAAGGUGUUGGAAAGCCAUAUUCUCUGCAGAAACAUGUAGACAUAAUAAAUAUGCGUCGCAGUAACUACUGCCUG